rnacentral:misc_RNA from 1 species
GUAGGUGAACCUGCGGAAGGAUCAUUAACACGUUUACACGUAUAAUAAUAUAUACCCACCGUGAACUGUGCAUUGCGCACAUUCUCAAGUAAAAUCAUGGCUGGCUCUAUUAGGGCUGCAAAAACUCUUAGAAGUCUGCUGCCGCCUCGUAUAUGGUCCGCUCCUUCCUCCUGUUGUGAGCUUGGGACUACUUUGUACUUGGUGGUUGUCUGAGGGGGUUAGCCAUGUGUGUUGUCGUUAUUAUUAACGACUUGUUUUAUUCAACAACUCUGAAUUUAUUGUCGAAACUAAAAGAAGACCGCCCCUUUUUAAUUAGGGGGGUGAUCCCUUCUUUUAAUAACAAAACUCAGAACAACUCUUAGCAACGGAUAUCUUGGUUCCG